GAUGAACGCUGGCGGCGUGCCUAACACAUGCAAGUCGAGCGAACGGACGAUAAGCUUUCUCCCCUGAUGUUAGCGGCUGACGGGUGAGUAACACGUGGAUAAUCUACUUCUAAGACUUGGAUAACUACGGGAAAACGGAGCUACUACUGGAUAAUACUUUGAACCGCAUGGAUCAAAAGUGAAUGACGGUCUUGCUGUCACUUAUAGAUGGAUCCGCGCUGCAUUAGCUAGUUGGUAAGGUAACGGCUUACCAAGGCAACGAUGCAUAGCCGACCUGAGAGGAUGAUCAGCCACACUGGAACUGAGACACGGUCCAGACUCCUACGGGAGGCAGCAGUAGGGAAUCUUCCGCAAUGGGCGAAAGCCUGACGGAGCCACGCCGCGUGAGUGAUGAAGGUCUUCGGAUCGUAAAGCUCUGUUAUUAGGGAAGAACAGAUGUGUAAGUAACUGUGCCCGUCUUGACGGUACCUAAUCAGAAAGCCCCGGCUAACUACGUG
rnacentral:rRNA from 1 species